AUUGAACGCUGGCGGCGUGCUUAACACAUGCAAGUCGAUCGGUAACGCGGGGGCAACCCUGGCGACGAGAGGCGGACGGGUGAGGAACGCUUGGGAAUCUGCCUAUCAGCGGGGGACAACCCGGGGAAACUCGGGCUAAUACCGCAUACGCUCUACGGAGGAAAGCCGGGGACCGCAAGGCCUGGCACUGAUAGAUGAGCCCAAGCCGGAUUAGCUAGUUGGCGGGGUAACGGCCCACCAAGGCGACGAUCCGUAGCUGGUCUGAGAGGACGAUCAGCCACACCGGAACUGAGACACGGUCCGGACUCCUACGGGAGGCAGCAGUGGGGAAUAUUGGACAAUGGGGGAAACCCUGAUCCAGCGACGCCGCGUGGGUGAAGAAGGCCUGCGGGUUGUAAAGCCCUUUCGGUAGGGACGAAAACUCUUGCUCUAACAAAGCAGGAGCUUGACUUAACCUACAUAAGAAGCACCGGCUAACUCUGUGCCAGCCGCCGCGG
rnacentral:rRNA from 1 species